rnacentral:rRNA from 1 species
UGGGGAAUAUUGGACAAUGGGGGCAACCCUGAUCCAGCAAUGCCGCGUGUGUGAAGAAGGUCUUCGGAUUGUAAAGCACUUUCGACGGGGACGAUGAUGACGGUACCCGUAGAAGAAGCCCCGGCUAACUUCGUGCCAGCAGCCGCGGUAAUACGAAGGGGGCUAGCGUUGCUCGGAAUGACUGGGCGUAAAGGGCGUGUAGGCGGUUUACACAGUCAGAUGUGAAAUCCCCGGGCUUAACCUGGGAGCUGCAUUUGAUACGUGUAGACUAGAGUGUGAGAGAGGGUUGUGGAAUUCCCAGUGUAGAGGUGAAAUUCGUAGAUAUUGGGAAGAACACCGGUGGCGAAGGCGGCAACCUGGCUCAUGACUGACGCUGAGGCGCGAAAGCGUGGGGAGCAAACAGGAUUAGAUACCCUGGUAGUCCACGCUGUAAACGAUGUGUGCUAGAUGUUGGGUAACUUUGUUAUUCAGUGUCGCAGUUAACGCGUUAAGCACACCGCCUGGGGAGUACGGGCCGCAAGGUUGAAACUCU